UACGGAAGGGGCUAGCGUUGUUCGGAAUUACUGGGCGUAAAGAGAGAGUAGGCGGCUUACCAAGUUCGGGGUGAAAUCCCGGAGCUCAACUCCGGAACUGCCUUCAAAACUGGUAGGCUCGAGUCCGGAAGAGGGGCGUGGAAUUCCGAGUGUAGAGGUGAACUUCGUAGAUAUUGGGAAGAACACCGGUGGCGAAGGCGGCGCCCGGGUCCGGUACUGACGAUGAGGCGCGAAAGCGUGGGGAGCAAACAGG
rnacentral:rRNA from 1 species